GUAAUGGCAGGUCAGCAUACUGCCGUGAAUACGUUCCCGGGCCUUGUACACACCGCCCGUCACACCAUGAGAGUUGGGGAUACCCGAAGCCUGUGAGCCAACUAUAUAGAGGCAGCAGUCGAAGGUAGAAUCAAUGAGUUGGGGUGAAGUCGUAACAAGGUAAC
rnacentral:rRNA from 1 species